UUCAUGAUUUGUAGAAAUAAAUGAACUGCGCAAAGGACGCAGUUCAUUUAUUCCUCGUCCUUUGCGCAGUUCAUUUAUUUCUGCAAAUACAGUUG
rnacentral:pre_miRNA from 1 species